rnacentral:rRNA from 1 species
GAUGAACGCUAGCGGCAGGCCUAAUACAUGCAAGUCGGACGGGAUCCAUCGGAGAGCUUGCUCGAAGAUGGUGAGAGUGGCGCACGGGUGCGUAACGCGUGAGCAACCUACCUCUAUCAGGGGGAUAGCCUCUCGAAAGAGAGAUUAACACCGCAUAACAUAUCUGACCGGCAUCGGUUAGCUAUUAAAUAUUUAUAGGAUAGAGAUGGGCUCGCGUGACAUUAGCUAGUUGGUAGGGUAACGGCUUACCAAGGCGACGAUGUCUAGGGGCUCUGAGAGGAGAAUCCCCCACACUGGUACUGAGACACGGACCAGACUCCUACGGGAGGCAGCAGUAAGGAAUAUUGGUCAAUGGGCGGAAGCCUGAACCAGCCAUGCCGCGUGCAGGAUGACUGCCCUAUGGGUUGUAAACUGCUUUUGUCCAGGAAUAAACCUAGAUACGUGUAUCUAGCUGAAUGUACUGGAAGAAUAAGGAUCGGCUAACUCCGUGC